AGAUUGAACGCUGGCGGCAGGCCUAACACAUGCAAGUCGAGCGGCAGCACGGGUACUUGUACCUGGUGGCGAGCGGCGGACGGGUGAGUAAUGCCUAGGAAUCUGCCUGGUAGUGGGGGAUAACGCUCGGAAACGGACGCUAAUACCGCAUACGUCCUACGGGAGAAAGCAGGGGACCUUCGGGCCUUGCGCUAUCAGAUGAGCCUAGGUCGGAUUAGCUAGUUGGUGGGGUAAUGGCUCACCAAGGCGACGAUCCGUAGCUGGUCUGAGAGGAUGAUCAGUCACACUGGAACUGAGACACGGUCCAGACUCCUACGGGAGGCAGCAGUGGGGAAUAUUGGACAAUGGGCGAAAGCCUGAUCCAGCCAUGCCGCGUGUGUGAAGAAGUCUUCGGAUUGAAAGCACUUAAGUGGAGAGGCAUAACUAAUACGUUAUGUUUGACGUUACGACAGAAUAAGCACGCUAACUCUGUGCAGCACG
rnacentral:rRNA from 1 species